rnacentral:misc_RNA from 1 species
UGGUUUUACUGCCAGCCAAUGAUGGGUUCGAUGCAAGCACUGUCUAUGGUGGUGAAAAAGGCUGCAGCGGAUAACUGUGUUGGUUCUGCAGUCCUUAACCUCUUGCAAAGCCAGGCAAAGGCAAUGGCUGGUGAUCAUGUAGUGAGGUCUUUGCUGGAAAAGAUGUCACAAUCAGCAAGCACUGCAUAUCUUGGAAUAUUAGAGAGGUGGGUGUAUGAAGG